GACGAACGCUGGCGGCGUGCUUAACACAUGCAAGUCGAACGGAAAGGCCCUGCUUUUGUGGGGUGCUCGAGUGGCGAACGGGUGAGUAACACGUGAGUAACCUGCCCUUGACUUUGGGAUAACUACAGGAAACUGGGGCUAAUACCGGAUAGGAGCUCCUGCUGCAUGGUGGGGGUUGGAAAGUUUCGGCGGUUGGGGAUGGACUCGCGGCUUAUCAGCUUGUUGGUGGGGUAGUGGCUUACCAAGGCUUUGACGGGUAGCCGGCCUGAGAGGGUGACCGGCCACAUUGGGACUGAGAUACGGCCCAGACUCCUACGGGAGGCAGCAGUGGGGAAUAUUGCACAAUGGGCGGAAGCCUGAUGCAGCAACGCCGCGUGCGGGAUGACGGCCUUCGGGUUGUAAACCGCUUUCGCCUGUGACGAAGCGUGAGUGACGGUAAUGGGUAAAGAAGCACCGGCUAACUACGUGCCAGCAGCCGCGGUGAUACGUAGGGUGCGAGCGUUGUCCGGAUUUAUUGGGCGUAAAGGGCUCGUAGGUGGUUGAUCGCGUCGGAAGUGUAAUCUUGGGGCUUAACCCUGAGCGUGCUUUCGAUACGGGUUGACUUGAGGAAGGUAGGGGAGAAUGGAAUUCCUGGUGGAGCGGUGGAAUGCGCAGAUAUCAGGAGGAACACCAGUGGCGAAGGCGGUUCUCUGGGCCUUUCCUGACGCUGAGGAGCGAAAGCGUGGGGAGCGAACAGGCUUAGAUACCCUGGUAGUCCACGCUGUAAACGGUGGGUACUAGGUGUGGGGUCCAUUCCACGGGUUCCGUGCCGUAGCUAACGCUUUAAGUACCCCGCCUGGGGAGUACGGCCGCAAGGCUAAAACUCAAAGGAAUUGACGGGGCCCCGCACAAGCGGCGGAGCAUGCGGAUUAAUUCGAUGCAACGCGUAGAACCUUACCUGGGUUUGACAUGGAUCGGGAGUGCUCAGAGAUGGGUGUGCCUCUUUUGGGGUCGGUUCACAGGUGGUGCAUGCCUGUCGUCAGCUCGUGUCGUGAGAUGUUGGGUUAAGUCCCGCAACGAGCGCAACCCUUGUUCACUGUUGCCAGCACGUUAUGGUGGGGACUCAGUGGAGACCGCCGGGGUCAACUCGGAGGAAGGUGGGGAUGACGUCAAGUCCUCAUGCCCCUUAUGUCCAGGGCUUCACGCAUGCUACAAUGGCUGGUACAGGGAGUGGCGAGCCUGUGAGGGUGAGCGAAUCUCGGAAAGCCGGUCUCAGUUCGGAUUGGGGUCUGCAACUCGACCUCAUGAAGUCGGAGUCGCUAGUAAUCGCAGAUCAGCAACGCUGCGGUGAAUACGUUCCCGGGGCU
rnacentral:rRNA from 1 species